AGCUCUCGUAAUGUAUAGAAUUAUUGUUGCGGUUAAAAAGUUCGUAGUUGGAUUUCAUACCGUUUGCGGGUCGUGCUUAACGGCGCGUACUUGCGACGGUGUUUCCACUAGUGUGAAGCAAUUCGCACCCGUGGGGAUUACUUUGAACGGCUUAAGUGCUCAAGGCGAGUCUUCGGACUGAAUACCGGUGCAUGGAAUAAUGGAACAAGGUUUCGGCUGAGUUU
rnacentral:rRNA from 1 species